rnacentral:SRP_RNA from 1 species
GCCAGGUGUGGUGGUGUAUGCCUGUAGUUCCAGCUACUUGGGAGGCUGAGAUGGGAGGGUAGCUUGAGCCCAGGAGGUGGAGGUUGCAGUGAGCUGAGAUUGCACCACUGCACUCCAGCCUGGGCAACAAAGCCACACCCUGUCUCAA